rnacentral:rRNA from 1 species
AUUGAACGCUGGCGGCAGGCCUAACACAUGCAAGUCGAACGAGUGGCGGACGGGUGAGUAAUGUCUGGGAAACUGCCUGAUGGAGGGGGAUAACUACUGGAAACGGUAGCUAAUACCGCAUACCAUCGGAUGUGCCCAGAUGGGAUUAGCUAGUAGGUGGGGUAAAGGCUCACCUAGCCGACGAUCCCUAGCUGGUCUGAGAGGAUGACCAGCCACACUGGAACUGGGACACGUUACAGAUCCCUACGGGAGGCAGAUGUGGGUAAUAUUGAACAAUGGGCGCAAGCCUGAUGCAGCCUUGCCGCGUUUAUGAAGAAGGCCUUCGGGUUGUAAAGUACUUUAAGCGGGGAGGCGUGACCAGCAGAAGAAGCACCGGCUAACUCCGUGCCAGCAGCCGCGUAAUAC